AGAUGGAGGCCGACAGGAAUGCCACCACUCCAUUCACUCAUGUUCCAUCCAGCAAAUGAAGUAUCACGAGCACACGCCAGAGGAACCAAAUUCUCUAGGGGGAGACAGCAGUGAAGAAAGCAGACAAAGUCUCUGAACUCCUGUGUCUUCUAUUCAAAUGGGGAAGAUGAACAAUGAACAGAUAACACAAAUAGAAGAAUGCGUGACCUAUCCAAUCCUUCCUCUCAUGGAAACACCAACUCAUCCAUGCCCUCUGUGCUGAAACUUCGUCUCAGCCUGCUGGAAUCACCUGCACCCCAUGGGAACUGUAGCCAUAUCUUCAGUCCUGUGAGCCCCCGUCAUGGCCUGUCACAGGAGUAAAUGAGGAGUAAGGCCCAGAAUACUCAGUACCUCUCAAUGACCCUCAGACGCUGUAGGAAGAGGAUUGGUUCACCUUUUAACCCAGAAUUUCUCACAUUGAAUGGACAGGAUGCAUUCCAAGAGGCCAGAGUAUGUGCAUCUCAGCUCCUGAUGGUUUCCACCACCACCAUUACUUUCUCUAUGUCAAGAUACCUGGGA
rnacentral:lncRNA from 10 species